AUGGCCGUCUCUGUCCGCCUCGGCUCCUCCCCAUCCAUCCUUCUGCUCCCGCUCCUCUUCCUCUUCACCAUCCCGUCGCUCGCCUCCGCCUGCGACCGCUGCGCGCGCCACUCCAAGGCCGCCUACUACACCUCCUCGCUCACCCUCGCUGCCGGCUCCUGCGGGUACGGCACGGCGGCCGCCUCCUUCAACGGCGGCCUGCUCGCCGCCGCCGGCCCGGCCCUGUACCGGGGCGGCGUCGGCUGCGGCGCCUGCUUCCAGGUGAGGUGCAAGGACAAGAAGCUCUGCAGCGGCGCCGGCGCCAGGGUCGUGGUGACGGACCGCGCCAGGAUGAGGACGAACCGCACGGACCUGGUGCUGAGCAGCCCGGCGUUCGCCGCCAUGGGCCGCCCCGGCAUGGCCGCGCGGCUCACCAAGCUCCGCGCCGUCGAUGUCGAGUACAAGAGGGUGCCGUGCGAGUACAGGGGCAAGAACCUCUCGGUGCGGGUGGAGGAGCGGAGCCGCGCGCCCAGCGAGCUCGCCGUCCGGUUCCUCUACCAGGGCGGCCAGACCGACAUCGUCGCCGUCGACGUCGCGCAGGUCGGGUCGUCGAGCUGGAAGUUCAUGACGCGGGAGCACGGGCCGGCGUGGAGCACGCGGCAGGCGCCGGCGGGGCCGCUGCAGUUCAGGGUGGUGGUGACCGGCGGGUACGACGGGAAGUGGGUGUGGGCCGACCGGGAGGUGCUGCCCAGCCGGUGGCGCGCCGGCGAGGUCUACGACACGGGGGUCCAGAUCACCGACGUCGCGCAGGAGGGCUGCUUUCCAUGCGACACGCAGGAGUGGAGGUGA
rnacentral:rRNA from 1 species